GUCGCUAGUCGAAUAUUUAUCCAAUCAACUUCGUUCUAAACCGUAUUGUUUAGAAACUAAUUUCAUUUCUUCACACGAGUGUCACUAGUCGACCAUUUAUUCAGCCAACUUCGUUCUAAUCCGUGAUAUUCGGAAAAUAAUUUUAUUUCUUCACGUGAUUCGUUAAUUGAAUCUUCGUUUUAAACCGCGUUGAUAUCGUAUAUUUUCUAAGUUGACAUUUCACGGUUUAUUUAUAAGAAAAAUUCGUUCGAUUUUGUGCGGUUGCGUUUUUCACACGUGGUAACAAAGAUGCGAAAUCGAAAGAAGUAUUUUCGACGUGUUUUACUUUUUUAUUACCGAAAAGAUGAGAAUGCUGUUCAAACGAGACAAAAAGUUGUGCGAAGUCUACGAAGAAGGUGCAUUAAGGAGGGAGCAGCUGCGACUUUUCCACCCUCGAAAAGAUGGAAGCGGAGUUGGAAAAAAGAUGGGGUUCCGGUGCUCGGAUACGGAACAGGCAGCGGAAAAUUUAUCGAGCUCUCGGUGUGGCGGGAGUCAAGCUGUGUGCAGCAACACGCGACCAGCGCCACCAUCGCUUCAUGAAAACGAUGAUUUCUGGGCAAAGAUUUCCCGGAGGGGCCGUGCACGAUAAUUCGCUACCAAUUCAAAUCGACCGCCACUCGAUCAAUUUCCCUAAAAAGAAGAUACGUUCAUCACGGAAAUUAUCUUAUCCCUUAAAUCCAUCUAAACCCGGCAUAAAUCAGGACCAUGACCUAGACAGUGUCGCUAUGGGUCGUCUAGUAUGCGCGGGAUGAACGAUGGAGAGAGAAAAAUGAAAAGAAGAAAAAAAAAGGAAGAGAAGAGGCUCCUAAAAAUAAUAUCGUAAAACCACGAACCACGAUGAUGGCUUGUCCUACGCACAUACAUAUACAUAUAUACAUAUAUACACACGCUAGAUUAUACGCUUGUACAUAUAUUAUGAACACGUUAUAGGACGUGGAAGUCUAUUUCGAACCGAAAGACAUUCUGUAUCCAGCCGUUCUCGCAACACGCAGCCUUUGAUACAGCCACGAUAUAUACGUACAUACACGGGAGAGAGAACUGCAUCCCCUUCGAUGCCUGCCUGCCGCAGGGAUUCUCAGCCGUGUAAACAAGCGCGGGGUGUAAGCGGAUAUUCUCCCCUUCGUGGAAAAACACAAUUUCCGUUUCGAUUCAAAUAUCUGAGAGCAGGAAGGAAUUGAGGAAUACGUACGUACCGAUUGAGAACCACUGUAAAUCGGCGUGCACAUCUGGCUACCCUGGAAACGUGGGAGUUGAGAGUAAAGUAUAAACUAUGGGGUGGCACCCCAUCUCGUAGCGGGCUACCUACCACCUCCUCCUCCUCCCAUAGACGUAGGUAAUAUCAUCGUCCACGCGAGUCUACGCGCAUACGCGACUCGUCGUUGCACGGAAUAGGGUGACAAAGUUGGCCACCACACAUUUGGGCGAAAUGCGCAUUUGUGCGAGAGAGGGAGGCUCCUCGUGCAAGAGAGGCUAUAAAUUUAAAGGGGGACACGUAGGGUAGGCCCCAUACUGGAAGCCAGUUUCCAUGGUGGUCCAGAUCUCUCGUGGCGGCCAGGAGACGCGCAAAGGGUUGCUAAAAGCCAUUCACGGGGCUAAUGGCUAAUGGGGUGUUCUUAACACGGCACCGAAUCUACUGCGCCGCCGUUUACCACCCUCCACCUUUCCCCGCCUUCGAGAGAGCGAAUCCAUGCCGAAUAUCAAUAGGAUAGAAAUUCAUUUAUACCCACCAGUUGCCCAGAAACGAAACUUGGUAAACGGGAUUCUGCGAUUCCAGAGAAUUCUGCAUGCAAGAAAUUCUCAAAGUCGUGCAAUAAACUUGGGGAAGAAGGAAGGAAGGAAGGAAGGAAGAGGAAAAGUUACUGAAAGAUGUUUCUCUAUUUCUUACAGAGCGACGAACAAGUCGGGAUUGAAAGAUAGGGUUCAGGCCAAACGGUUGUUUCUCUGUCAACCCUCUGUCAAUGAAGGUACACCUUCAGAAUCGAAGAAAUCUCAUCGCAAUUUUAAAGUAUUCACUCGGGUGGGAUUCACGUAAAUUACGCGUGGAUAACGUUUGCGACCGCUAUAACUCUCUCAGGGGAUCUAUAAAUAUCGCGAGCUCCUUCCAACAAGUUAUGGAACGUAUGGAUUAGGUCAACAACUAUUACCGUAUAAUGUGAAACAAAUGUUAAAACAAUGAAUUUGAAAACGAUAUUGAAGGAGGAAGAGGAAGAAGAUGUUAUAAUAUGAAACAAAU
rnacentral:lncRNA from 1 species